rnacentral:rRNA from 1 species
GCAAGGAAUUUUCCGCAAUGGGCGAAAGCCUGACGGAGCAACGCCGCGUGGGGGAGGAAGGCCUUCGGGUCGUAAACCCCUUUUGCGAGGGAAGAAGAUCUGACGGUACCUCGCGAAUAAGCCACGGCUAACUACGUGCCAGCAGCCGCGGUAAUACGUAGGUGGCAAGCGUUGUCCGGAUUUACUGGGCGUAAAGCGCGCGCAGGCGGGCCGGUCAGUCCGGGGUGAAAUCUCACGGCUCAACUGUGAGAGGUCCUCGGAAACUGCCGGUCUUGAGGUGCCUAGAGGAGAGUGGAAUUCCCGGUGUAGUGGUGGAAUGCGUAGAUAUCGGGAGGAACACCAGUGGCGAAAGCGACUCUCUGGGGGCGACCUGACGCUGAGGCGCGAAAGCGUGGGGAGCGAACCGG